AGAGUGAGCCACAGGCAACACAUGUUCUAAACCAACCCUGUUCACCCUGGACCUACUAUUUUUGCACUCACCUCCCUGGUUCUCAGAUUUCUGGCUCCGGUUCCCAGCUGCCAUAGCCCCUUUGGUCCCUUCACUUUGGUGACCCUUUAGGCUUCCCUUUUUAGACCACAGCUGUCACAUGUUUCUGACUCAACUUGCUUCUGCCAUGCCAGCGUCACCCCUGGUCUCAGGUGAUUUCUUAGGCUAAUUCUCAGAGAUGGGGUUAUUGGGCCAAAAAAGCAAACUAUGGCUUUCCGAAGCUCUCAUUGUUCCCAUUAUGUCAUGCAUCCCUGAGAUGCAGUCAGCAGAGGAUUCUAUUUGAGGGACUAAACACUCCCGGGGAAAGCAGGAAGAAGGAGACGGGAACUAACAUUUGCUAUUGAGCGCCAGGCAUCGUCCUACAGGCUUCGAAGUGAACCUUGGAUGUGCUGCUGAUCUGACCUGCCCAGAUUUGUCAUCAUUGUUAUUGUCUUGGCCUCUUAUGAAGACGUUCACCCAGCAGGACUUCAGAAGCUUUGUUCACUCGAUCUCAUUUAAUCCUCACAAUAGUGCCCUAAGGAAGAUAUUAGUAUCCCCAUUUUACAAAGGAGGAAACGGGAACCUGGGGAGAUUAAGCGAAGGCCUCACAGAUCAUGAAUAGAAGAGGCUGGAAACCUAGUCUGGUUCAAGGGUGUGCUCUUUCUGCUCUGCCAUGCUGUGCUUCAGCCCUUCCCCACUCUCAGCCCCAUGUGCACGCAGAUAGGGAUUUUCACUCUUUGCCCUGUAUGAAAGGAGGGAAGGUAAGACACAUGAGCCUAGGGGGAAGGUCCAUCUGCAGGACUACCCUGAAGGGGAUGGGACAUUCCUGGCCCUCAGCCUACAAACUCUUUCCUUUUAUUUCCUGCUGGUGAAAAGCAUAAUUUAAAGAUGACUUUGUUUUAUACAUACACAUACAUACAAUCACACACACACACACACACACUCACUCACUCCAAGAAGAGGGCUCUCUGUAAAUAAAAGACCUGUCACCUAUCAAAGAUGCUAACCAAGGACUUACCAAAUGUCCUUUGAUGCUAAGUAUCUUUCAGAAAAGUUAUUACUCAACCUGAGUCCACGGACUAGGCCUAUCCUUAUGUUAAAAUAAUUCUCUCAUGGAAUUAUUUGAUUUGGCCCAACAUCUACCAGCUUUGCACAUAUUUCAAUAUUUCAAUUAAACCACCAAACCUCAGUCUAUAUUAA
rnacentral:lncRNA from 1 species